CGGAGCAAGCCAGCGUUCUUUGUUUUUUUCGUCUCGUCUCCCUUCCUUCGUCCGUGGAGCUUGGAGGAAGACAAGAAGACGAAGACACUGGUAUCUUAGGUUCCUGAUCUCUCCGUCUCGUCUAAUUUUACGAAUGUUUCUUUCCAUGGAUUAUUAGUUUCAUGGAUCGGCGGUUCUCGUUUCGGUAAUCCAAUGAUCGUCUUAUCCUAAAAGAAUCGUACAUUUUCAAGAUCUCAUUCCAAAGUGUAGACGAAGAGAAGACCUCUCUGAGAUCUCAGUGUCCUUGAUCUGUGCAUCUCCUUUAGGUUUACGAUCUGGGUUCUUUCUUUGGAUGGAUCAUUAGAUCGUUAGUUAAAUAGUUCUGAGUUUGGCGAUCUUUGAUGGCGAAUGGACUUUCCGAGUGGUUUUCUACCGGAACCCUUCUCCGAAGGUGAUGCUCGGGCGGGAUGGGUACGUAACUGACCACACUUUGAUCCGAACCACUUUGGUGCUUGGUGGGGCCCGCUCUCGGCUCUGAUACGCUGGUGAGGACAGGAGGAGGGUAUAGAAGAAACAAUCUUUUCGGAAGAGUGAUCUAGAAAAUUCCAUUAAAUCAACUAUGCGAGUUCUCUCGAGUCGUUUUGGUUGCUCCUCUUUGUAAAUAGAGUGAUGGAUGUGGUGGUAGCGAGGCCUAGGAUGGCGCGUUCAUCGAGGUCGAUUGGGCCACCCUCUAAGGUACUAAUCUUGGAUCGACUCUCUCCCUUUUCACUCGCUUUUGAGGUUGGUCUUUGGUUGUGUCCCUGCCUUUCUUUAGCAGUUUGAUCAAGUCGUUCUUUAGAUCCUGGUCCUUUAUCUCUGUACUUUGCGAUAGGUUUUGAUUCCUCUUCGCUUCUUGAUCAUGUGAUGGUUCUUGUUUCUUUUUUCUUUAAGGUUCUUGAUUUUGCAUUC